rnacentral:lncRNA from 1 species
AAACAUACAAGCUAUACAUCAACAAAUGAAAUGAAUCAUAAAACUCAGAAUAAAAAGUAAGAAAAAAGUGAAGCUAUAGGAUAGAAAAAUGUUUUUUUGUGGAUAAAGUAUAUGACGCACACUGAAUGAUUUUUUUGUGGUGGUAGUUAGAAAAAUACGCUUUUUAUUAUUGUUGCUUUUUCUUUAUUUUUUUGAAAAUGAGAUGGAGUUAUAUGUUUUUAUGUGGUGGAGGGGUGUGAGGUGUGGCGGCGGUCGUGAUGUGGGUUGUGAGGUUACGUAGCAGCGAAUGUUUGUGGUGGGUUUUGAAAAAGCAGAAGGGAGCGUGGGUUAACGGAGGUGCAAACAGGGUGGUGGUAUCAAUGCCUUUUCGAGUGAAUAUGAGGGAAGAAGUAUAUUGUUAAAGUUGUUAUGUUACUGCAAUUUUGGAUAGAUGAAUGUGUGAAGUAUGGAUUGCAAGAAGAAGAAGAUAUUGG